UUCAUUGCUAAUAGCCAGGAGCAUGGCUGGAAGCAUUUUGAGCUUGUUUUCAAGCAAGUGAGCAACGAUAUCAUGUGACCACCAUGGGGUGUGUCUCACUUACUUUUAAACAAAACAAGUUGGCAUGGGCAAACAUGCCGGACUCCGCUCUCCCGCCAGCUAAAAGCCAAUGGAAAAGAAAAGGAAAAUAUGAAAGUGAAUCAGUUAGAAAGUGCGCCAGAAAAUCGAUGGAAACCAAAAGGCUGUCUGUAAGAAUUUUCGUGACAGGACACAUCGACAGCUGGAAUCAACUGAAGGAUGAAACAGGCGCGAAAUCUGACAAAGAAUGUGCACCGCUUUUCUUGGACUGUACUACGAUGACAACACCACCACCUCCUCCUCCUCCUCUUCCUCAGAUGGUCUGCCUUGCUGAAGCAGCUACAACACAGCCAGAAGUGGAAUUCCAGCUUGACCAUAAAGAUCCAACAUACACAAACUCAACAAUGUGAACAUCUCCGCUGAUCAAUAAACUCAGGAAGAAAGAAUCAUCAGAAAGAUGUUUGCAGUUAUGUACAUCACUGUUCUUUCAUUUUGUGGCUCCAUGAGUGCUGUAAAACACAGACACCCCUGCGAUUCAGAUACGCCUCGUGAUACCUUACAAACAUGCUGAUGAGCCUGGCUCGGACAUGGGCUAUGACAGUGAGAGCUAUGACAGCAGAGCUAAAUUAUUUAGGUUUGUUGGACGUCAUGAAAUUAAAAUCUCCACAGAAGCACAGAUCUGUCAGAAUGACAAACAACGCGUGAGCCGACCCUACACAACACAUUUAGAAGUGGGUCUCUGCAUGUGUAUUUACGUAUGAGGUGUUUGUCAACUGACGAUAAAGAAUGUGUGUUACAUCUAUA